rnacentral:rRNA from 1 species
CCUACGGGAGGCAGCAGUGAGGAAUAUUGGUCAAUGGACGAGAGUCUGAACCAGCCAAGUCGCGUGAGGGAGGACGGCCCUACGGGUUGUAAACCUCUUUUGCCGGGGAGCAACGGGCGUCACGUGUGGCGCCACUGAGAGUACCCGGAGAAAAAGCAUCGGCUAACUCCGUGCCAGCAGCCGCGGUAAUACGGAGGAUGCGAGCGUUAUCCGGAUUUAUUGGGUUUAAAGGGUGCGUAGGCGGAUCGUUAAGUCAGUGGUCAAAUUGAGGGGCUCAACCCCUUCCCGCCAUUGAAACUGGCGCUCUUGAGUGGAAGAGAAGUAUGCGGAAUGCGUGGUGUAGCGGUGAAAUGCAUAGAUAUCACGCAGAACCCCGAUUGCGAAGGCAGCAUGCCGGCUUCCGACUGACGCUGAAGCACGAAAGUGUGGGUAUCAAACAGGAUUAGAUACCCGAGUAGUC